rfam:Pseudomonas sp. EGD-AK9 Contig_242, whole genome shotgun sequence.
CGGGCGGUCUUGUUUAUUUGCCCGGCUGUGUUAGGGUCGGCCUAAGGUUUCGCAAAACCCCGCCUUCGGGCGGGGUUUUGCUUUUUC